AUAUUGUGAGCUCGAUGAGUAGGGCGGGACACGUGGUAUCCUGUCUGAAUAUGGGGGGACCAUCCUCCAAGGCUAAAUACUCCUGACUGACCGAUAGUGAACCAGUACCGUGAGGGAAAGGCGAAAAGAACCCCGGCGAGGGGAGUGAAAAAGAACCUGAAACCGUGUACGUACAAGCAGUGGGAGCACGCUUAGGCGUGUGACUGCGUACCUUUUGUAUAAUGGGUCAGCGACUUAUAUUCUGUAGCAAGGUUAACCGAAUAGGGGAGCCGAAGGGAAACCGAGUCUUAACUGGGCGUUAAGUUGCAGGGUAUAGACCCGAAACCCGGUGAUCUAGCCAUGGGCAGGUUGAAGGUUGGGUAACACUAACUGGAGGACCGAACCGACUAAUGUUGAAAAAUUAGCGGAUGACUUGUGGCUGGGGGUGAAAGGCCAAUCAAACCGGGAGAUAGCUGGUUCUCCCCGAAAGCUAUUUAGGUAGCGCCUCGUGAAUUCAUCUCCGGGGGUAGAGCACUGUUUCGGCAAGGGGGUCAUCCCGACUUACCAACCCGAUGCAAACUGCGAAUACCGGAGAAUGUUAUCACGGGAGACACACGGCGGGUGCUAACGUCCGUCGUGAAGAGGGAAACAACCCAGACCGCCAGCUAAGGUCCCAAAGUCAUGGUUAAGUGGGAAACGAUGUGGGAAGGCCCAGACAGCCAGGAUGUUGGCUUAGAAGCAGCCAUCAUUUAAAGAAAGCGUAAUAGCUCACUGGUCGAGUCGGCCUGCGCGGAAGAUGUAACGGGGCUAAACCAUGCACCGAAGCU
rnacentral:rRNA from 1 species